rnacentral:rRNA from 2 species
AAGGGCUCGCACGCGGUUUCUUAAGUCUGAUGUGAAAGCCCCCGGCUCAACCGGGGAGGGUCAUUGGAAACUGGGGAACUUGAGUGCAGAAUAGGAGAAUGGAAUUCCACGUGUAGCGGUGAAAUGCGUAGAGAUGUGGAGGAACACCAGUGGCGAAGGCGACUCUCUGGUCUGUAACUGACGCUGAGGAGCGAAAGCGUGGGGAGCGAACAGGAUUAGAUACCCUGGUAGUCCACGCCGUAAACGAUGAGUGCUAAGUGUUAGGGGGUUUCCGCCCCUUAGUGCUGCAGCUAACGCAUUAAGCACUCCGCCUGGGGAGUACGGUCGCAAGACUGAAACUCAAAGGAAUUGACGGGGGCCCGCACAAGCGGUGGAGCAUGUGGUUUAAUUCGAAGCAACGCGAAGAACCUUACCAGGUCUUGACAUCCUCUGACAAUCCUAGAGAUAGGACUUCCCCUUCGGGGGCAGAGUGACAGGUGGUGCAUGGUUGUCGUCAGCUCGUGUCGUGAGAUGUUGGGUUAAGUCCCGCAACGAGCGCAACCCUUGAUCUUAGUUGCCAGCAUUCAGUUGGGCACUCUAAGGUGACUGCCGGUGACAAACCGGAGGAAGGUGGGGAUGACGUCAAAUCAUCAUGCCCCUUAUGACCUGGGCUACACACGUGCUACAAUGGACAGAACAAAGGGCAGCGAAACCGCGAGGUUAAGCCAAUCCCACAAAUCUGUUCUCAGUUCGGAUCGCAGUCUGCAACUCGACUGCGUGAAGCUGGAAUCGCUAGUAAUCGCGGAUCA